rnacentral:rRNA from 1 species
CUACGGGWGGCWGCAGUAGGGAAUCUUCCGCAAUGGSCGAAAGCCUGACGGAGCAAUGCCGCGUGAGUGAUGAAGGNUUUUCGGAUCGUAAAGCUCUGUUGCCAGGGAAGAACGUCCUUGAGAGUMACUGCUCAAGGAGUGACGGUACCUGAGAAGAAAGCCCCGGCUAACUACGUGCCAGCAGCCGCGGUAAUACGUAGGGGGCAAGCGUUGUCCGGAAUUAUUGGGCGUAAAGCGCGCGCAGGCGGUCAUUUAAGUCUGGUGUUUAAUCCCGGGGCUCAACCCCGGAUCGCACUGGAAACUGGAUGACUUGAGUGCAGAAGAGGAGAGUGGAAUUCCACGUGUAGCGGUGAAAUGCGUAGAGAUGUGGAGGAACACCAGUGGCGAASGCGACUCUCUGGGCUGUAACUGACGCUGAGGCGCGAAAGCGUGGSGAGCAAACAGSAUUAGAUACCCCAGUAGU